UGGGGAAUAUUGGGCAAUGGGGGCAACCCUGACCCAGCAACACCGCGUGUGCGAAGAAGGCCUUCGGGUUGUAAAGCACUUUUUGAGAGGAUGAGGAAGGACGGUACUCUCAGAAUAAGUCUCGGCUAACUACGUGCCAGCAGCCGCGGUAACACGUAGGAGGCAAACGUUAUCCGGAUUUACUGGGCGUAAAGCGCGUGUAGGUGGUUUGGUAAGUAGAGCGUGAAAGCUCCUGGCUCAACUGGGAGAGGUCGUUCUAAACUGCCGGACUAGAGGAUGGUAGAGGGAGGUGGAAUUCCGGGUGUAGCGGUGGAAUUCGCAGAUAUCCGGGGGAACACCAGUGGCGAAAGCGGCCUCCUGGACCACUCCUGACACUCAGACGCGAAAGCUAGGGUAGCAAACG
rnacentral:rRNA from 1 species